AGAUUUAUUAGAUGUCGAAUCAAUCAAUGACCAAGGUGUCAGGUUUAUAUUAGAACACAAUUUAGGCCUCUUCUUUUUUAUGCUACUUGUAUGUGUCCGACUCGGUGAAUAAUAGUGAUUUUGGGCUUUUCUAGGGAAGACGUAAGCAAAUCGGAAAGUUGACGAUGAUUCUUGCUCCAGCUCUUUCGCCACUUGUACUUGUAAAUCUUUUGUUAAUGUCUUUUUCCUUGCCUUGGGUAUCUACAUAGCAAUUAGUACAACAAAGAAUUUCCUACAACCCAUCAACGUAUUUGAAAAUACAUCCCGGCUACAUACCGUAGUGCCCUUCUUCGCUUUUUGGAAUACAAAGUCACCAUCCUGG